AAUAGAUGACGCCGUUGACUUUUUCUCGCAUGUUUGACCAUUCGUUUUAUUCAAAAAAUUUCCAUAAUUAUAAUUUAUUUUGUUAUGAGUUGUCUUAUCACUCAUAGUACUUUAAGUGUGAUUCAUAUCUUAUACAUUUGCAUAAAAUUUUUGAAUAAGACGAGUGGUCAAACAUGUGAGAAAAAGUCAAUGGUGCCAUCUAUU
rfam:Oryza glumipatula chromosome 3, whole genome shotgun sequence.